rnacentral:rRNA from 1 species
GGAACGUGCCUAGUAGUGGGGGAUAACUACUCGAAAGAGUAGCUAAUACCGCAUGAGAUCUACGGAUGAAAGCAGGGGACCUUCGGGCCUUGUGCUACUAGAGCGGCUGAUGGCAGAUUAGGUAGUUGGUGGGGUAAAGGCUUACCAAGCCUGCGAUCUGUAGCUGGUCUGAGAGGACGACCAGCCACACUGGGACUGAGACACGGCCCAGACUCCUACGGGAGGCAGCAGUGGGGAAUUUUGGACAAUGGGCGAAAGCCUGAUCCAGCAAUGCCGCGUGCAGGAUGAAGGCCCUCGGGUUGUAAACUGCUUUUGUACGGAACGAAAAGCCUGGGGCUAAUAUCCCCGGGUCAUGACGGUACCGUAAGAAUAAGCACCGGCUAACUACGUGCCAGCAGCCGCGGUAAUACGUAGGGUGCAAGCGUUAAUCGGAAUUACUGGGCGUAAAGCGUGCGCAGGCGGUUUUGUAAGACAGUGGUGAAAUCCCCGGGCUCAACCUGGGAACUGCCAUUGUGACUGCAAGGCUAGAGUGCGGCAGAGGGGGAUGGAAUUCCGCGUGUAGCAGUGAAAUGCGUAGAUAUGCGGAGGAACACCGAUGGCGAAGGCAAUCCCCUGGGCCUGCACUGACGCUCAUGCACGAAAGCGUGGGGAGCAAACAGGAUUAGAUACCCUGGUAGUCCACGCCCUAAACGAUGUCAACUGGUUGUUGGGUCUUAACUGACUCAGUAACGAAGCUAACGCGUGAAGUUGACCGCCUGGGGAGUACGGCCGCAGGUUGAAACUCAAAGGAAUUGACGGGACCCGCACAAGC